AACAGAAAGCACACUACAUGGAAUGAGCAAAGAGAGUGGCCUGACAACUUUGGGUCCAUAUCCAUCCCAGUCACCGGGAGACAGUGAAAAGCAGGGGGAAUUCAUCACCCCUAUCCUUCCCAGCACAACGGAAGAAACAGAGAAUGAUUCCACAGAUGAUCCCUUACUGUCAAUGGAAAAGCAAGG